AACAAAAACAUGUCCUUUUGUUUAUAAUUUAAGGUUUAACCUGCCCACUGAAUAAUAUUUUAAAUGGCCGCAGUAAUUUGACUGUGCAAAGGUAGCAUAAUCAUUAGUUUUUUAAUUAAAAGCUUGUAUGAAAGGUUGGACGAGGUAAAUUCUGUCUUUAUUUAAUUUAAAUUAGAAUUUAAUUUUUAAGUUAAAAAGCUUAAAUAUAUUUAAAAGACGAGAAGACCCUAUAGAUCUUAAUAUUAAUUAUAAUAAAUUUAAUUAAGAAUAAUUAAUUUUUUAUUAUAAAAAAUAUUUUAUUGGGGUAAUAAAAAGAUUAAAUAAAUUCUUUUUUUAUUUUUACAUAGAUAAAUGAAUAUUUGAUCCAAUUUUAUUGAUUAAAAGAUUAAGUUACCUUAGGGAUAACAGCGUAAUUUUUUUAGAGAGUUCAUAUCGAUAAAAAAGUUUGCGACCUCGAUGUUG
rnacentral:rRNA from 1 species